ACUAAGGAGGAACGGGUACAAGGUAAAAAAGUGGCAACCCAGACGAAAGGCAAGGCGGAAACGUCCUGAUGUCUCCAGACAGCCGGCAUUUUUGCCGUAUGUAAAAGGGGUAACGGAUAAAGUUGGCACAGUACUUGGAAAGUACUCUAUAAAGACGGUGUACACACCUUUAUCCAAAGUAGCAGGGAGCCUAAGGUCACCGAAGGACGUUAUUCCUCUGCGGUGGCUGAGCAUUUGCUGGAGUCAGGACCAAACCACUGGAUUGAGCUGCAUAACCCUAAAAUCCUCUCCACGGAUCGCCAUUUCUACAGUAGCUAGGUGCGGGAAGCCAUUGAAAUAAAAAAACAUUGCAAUUUUAAUCGGGACGAGGGUUUUAAGAUCUCAUCCACAUGGAAUCCAGUCAUUAGUAAAUGUAAGCGGAAACGAAUAUCGACAGUCGAUAAAUCGAAUAUCGUUAGUGUUGUGUGUCGACAGAGUGACAUCCCUAGUGCGCAAAACGUUCAAACUGAUAAACAAGACCAA